UUACGGCCAUAUCACAUUGAAACACCGGUUCAUGUACGAUCAUCGUAGUUAACCAACGUUGAACCCGAUCAGUACCUAGAUAGGUGACCGCUUGGGAAUAACGAGUGAU